rnacentral:rRNA from 1 species
AUGGAACAACUUAAGGAAAACUUCAAAAAGAAACGGGCUGACUGGGCCACUGAGAAAUCCGCUUUGAUCAAACGAGCAGAGGAUGCUGAGGCUGCACUAAAACCAGUGGCAGAUGAACUAACCAGCAUAAAGCGGCACGUGCAUGCCAUGACUGCUGCUAUCUUUGGGACACGCAUUGGUCACUUGGGGUCAGAUGUAUGGAAGAAGCUAAAAUCCGCCUAUACAUUGGUUGAACAAUUGUAUACUGGUGCCCAGCGGAUCAUCUGUACCGCCUCUCAUAACAAACCGGCGCCUACUUUUAUUCAAGAUACUCUGAUGAAACUGUCGGUGCUUCCUGCCCGGAUUGAAGAGCUAAAGAAAUCUGCUGCUCAAACCGGCGCAAUCAAUGCUUUAAUCUGGGCAAAAGCCUGGGUGCCGGAUUUUGAUCCUGUUAAAGCGGCUCAGGGCUAUCCCAGCUUGAAGGAAGACGGAUCAGAAUUCGGUUAA